AUUGAACGCUGGCGGCAGGCUUAACACAUGCAAGUCGAGCGGGGAAGGGUAGCUUGCUACCUGACCUAGCGGCGGACGGGUGAGUAAUGCUUAGGAAUCUGCCUAUUAGUGGGGGACAACAUUCCGAAAGGAAUGCUAAUACCGCAUACGCCCUACGGGGGAAAGCAGGGGAUCUUCGGACCUUGCGCUAAUAGAUGAGCCUAAGUCAGAUUAGCUAGUUGGUGGGGUAAAGGCCUACCAAGGCGACGAUCUGUAGCGGGUCUGAGAGGAUGAUCCGCCACACUGGGACUGAGACACGGCCCAGACUCCUACGGGAGGCAGCAGUGGGAAAUAUUGGACAAUGGGCGAAAGCCUGAUCCGGCCAUGCCGCGUGUGUGAAGAAGGCCUUUUGGUUGUAAAGCACUUUAAGCGAGGAGGAGGCUACCGAGAUUAAUACUCUUGGAUAGUGGACGUUACUCGCAGAAUAAGCACCGGCUAACUCUGUGCCAGCAGCCGCCGUAAAAC
rnacentral:rRNA from 1 species